AAACAUGCCAUCGGACUUCUCUCCAUGAUGCUGUGUUUUAUAAUAAUGGCGGUGCUGUGGGCUGGAGAUCGUCCUUAUGUUAGAUGUGAUUCAAAAUGCAAGGCAUGAGUUAUCUUUCUCUCGGCUGCGUCUUGCCUGUUUUGGUCCACAUGAAAACUGCAAGUUUUGAAGACUAGAACUGGAAGGAUUUUCUGUCUUUAAGACCUGCUUGUGAGCCUUCUGAAGAUGGCAGGGCAAACCACUGUGAGGACGGAGGUGGAGGUCCUGAUCCCUGGAGCG